rnacentral:rRNA from 1 species
AACGUAGGUGGCAAGCGUUAUCCGGAUUUACUGGGCGUAAAGGGUGUGCAGGCGGGGUAGCAAGUGGUGUUUGAAAUCUCCAGGCUUAACCUGGAGGGGUUAUGCCAGACUGCUGCUCUAGAGGACGAGAGAGGGGGGUGGAAUUCCGGGUGUAGUGGUGAAAUGCGUAGAGAUCCGGAGGAACCCCAGAGGCGAAGGCGGCCCCCUGGCUCGUACCUGACGCUCAGCCACGAAAGCAUGGGGAGCGAACGGG